GUAUCUGUGGCAUAAUUAGUUAGUGUGUUCGGCUGUUAACUGAACGGAUCGUGGUUCACGUCCACCCAGAGACC